ensembl:lncRNA
AUAUCAUGAAGAAUUCAGCAUUGCCAUGGCUCAUAUAUUAAAACUAGUGAGAGUUGUACCAUGCAAAUAAAUCAGAGGAGAAAAAGAAACAAUCUCAAAUGGCACAGGCAGUAGUUAUUUCUGACUAUGGACAAAAGCAAAACAAAAGAGGUUGAGGACUGUAAGAUGCUUUUCAAAACAGAGGGGCUCCUGAGUGAAAGGAUUUUCCUCAUGACAACUGGGAAGGCUUGAACUAAGGGUGGAGCUACAUCCAAAAUAACUGGAAGAAAAAAAAAAAGGAUCGAAGAGAAUCCUCUCUGUUUGUUUGAGGCACUGAAUGAGGCAGAGG